rnacentral:rRNA from 1 species
AAUAUUGCACAAAGGGGGAAACCCUGAUGCAGCGACGCCGCGUGAGUGAAGAAGUAUUUCGUUAGGUAAAGCUCUAUCAGCAAGGAAGAUAAUGACGGUACUUGACGAAGAAUCCCCGGCUACCUACGUACCAGCAGCCGCGGUAAUACGUAGGGGGCAAGCGUUAUCCGGAUUUACUGGGUGUAAAGGGAGCGUAGGUGGCAUGGUAAGUCAAAUGUGAAAGCCCAGGGCUCAACCCUGGGAUUGCAUUUGAAACUAUCAGGCUAGAGUGCAGGAGAGGUAAGUGGAAUUCCUAGUGUAGCGGUGAAAUGCGUAGAUAUUAGGAAGAACACCAGUGGCGAAGACGGCUUACUGGACUGUCACUGACACUGAGGCUCGAAAGCGCGGGGAGCAAACA